rnacentral:rRNA from 1 species
UAAAAAAUUUGGCGGUAUUUUAGUCUAUUCAGAGGAACCUGUUUUAUAAUCGAUAAUCCACGAUGGACCUUACUUGAUUUUGUUUUCAGUUUAUAUACCGUCGUUAUUAGAAUAUUUUAUAAGAAUGUUAGUUUUCAUAAUUUUAAAAAAGAAAAUAUAUCAGAUCAAGGUGUAGCUAAUGAUUAAGUAAAAAUGGGUUACAAUAAAAUUAUUUAAAUGAAUAUAAAUUUGAAAUAUUUAUUGAAGGUGGAUUUGAUAGUAAAAUUAUAAAGAUUAUUAAUUUGAUUUUAGCUCUAAAAUAUGUACACAUCGCCCGUCACUCUUAUUAUUAAGGUAAGAUAAGUCGUAACAUAGUAGAUGUACUGGAAAGUGUACCUAGAAUGCAAUUUAAAGCUUAAAUAGUAAAGUAUUUCAUUUACAUUGAAAAGAUUUUUGUGCAAAUCAAUAUAAAUUGAUUAAUUUUUAUUUAUUAAUUUUUUAAGAAAAAAAAAUUUUUUAUUAAAAAUAAUUAUAAAUUUUUAUGUUUUAGUAUUUUAUAUAAAAAAAAUAAUUUUAAUAAUAGUUAAAUAGUAUUGUGAAAGAAAAUUGAAAUAAAUUGAAAAAUAA